CCACACACGAUCCAAGAUCGACACAUAUUUGUGAACUGUUAACUGUGAUUCUAUCAGCCGUUGAAUAUUUUAUUUGUUCUUUGGGUUGGUAGCUUAUUUAAACACUAAAAUUUGUAACAUGAAUUAUGCAUUGGAACAUAUAAAAAAGUUAUGACAAGUUUGUCUUGUUAUAAUGCUAGAUUGAAAAUUGUAAAAA
rnacentral:misc_RNA from 1 species